UACGAAGGGGGCUAGCGUUGCUCGGAAUCACUGGGCGUAAAGGGUGCGUAGUCGGUUAUCUAAGUCGGGUGUGAAAUCCCCGGGCUCAACCUGGGAAUUGCAUUCGAUACUGGAUAGCUAGAGUUCGGCAGAGGGAAGCGGAAUUUCGGGUGUAGCGGUGAAAUGCGUAGAUAUCCGAAGGAACAUCAGUGGCGAAAGUGGCUUCCUGGACCAGAACUGACGAUCAGGCACGAAAGCGUGGGGAGCAAACAGG
rnacentral:rRNA from 1 species